ACUCCUACGGGAGGCAGCAGUGGGGAAUAUUGCACAAUGGGCGCAAGCCUGAUGCAGCCAUGCCGCGUGUGUGAAGAAGGCCUUCGGGUUGUAAAGCACUUUCAGUCGUGAAGGAAGGUAGUGUAGUUAACUAGCUGCAUUAUUGAUCGUUAGCGAACAGAAGAAGCACCGGCUAACUCCGUGCCAGCAGCCGCGGUAAUACGGAGGGUGCGAGCGUUAAUCGGAAUUACUGGGCGU
rnacentral:rRNA from 1 species